rnacentral:rRNA from 1 species
AGAGUUUGAUCCUGGCUCAGGAUGAACGCUAGCGACAGGCCUAACACAUGCAAGUCGAGGGGCAGCACAAGGAGCAAUCUGAGGUGGCGACCGGCGCACGGGUGAGUAACACGUAUGCAACCUGCCUGUAAGCGGGGAAUAACCCGUUGAAAGACGGACUAAUACCGCAUAAUACUAAAUUACUGCAUGGUAAUUUAUUUAAACAUUUAUGGCUUACAGAUGGGCAUGCGCAUGAUUAGCUAGUUGGAGAGGUAACGGCUCCCCAAGGCAACGAUCAUUAGGGGUUCUGAGAGGAAGGUCCCCCACACUGGUACUGAGACACGGACCAGACUCCUACGGGAGGCAGCAGUGAGGAAUAUUGGUCAAUGGACGAGAGUCUGAACCAGCCAAGUCGCGUGCAGGAAGAAUGUCCUAUGGAUUGUAAACUGCUUUUGCAGGGGAAUAAAGUGCAUCACGUGUGAUGUUUUGUAUGUACUCUGCGAAUAAGGAUCGGCUAACUCCGUGCCAGCAGCCGCGGUAAUACGGAGGAUCCGAGCGUUAUCCGGAUUUAUUGGGUUUAAAGGGUGCGUAGGCGGGAUAAUAAGUCAGUGGUGAAAGUUUGCAGCUUAACUGUAAAAUUGCCGUUGAAACUGUUAUUCUUGAGAGUAGAUAAGGUAGGCGGAAUGUGUUGUGUAACGGUGAAAUGCAUAGAUAUAACACAGAACCCCGAUUGCGAAGGCAGCUUACCGGGCUACAUCUGACGCUGAUGCACGAAAGCGUGGGGAUCAAACAGGAUUAGAUACCCUGGUAGUCCACGCAGUAAACGAUGAAUACUAGCUGUAUGCGAUAUACUGUAUGUGGCAAAGCGAAAGCAUUAAGUAUUCCACCUGGGGAGUACGUUCGCAAGAAUGAAACUCAAGGGAUUUGACGG